GUCCAUGCCGUAAACGUUGGGAACUAGAUGUAGGGGCCAUUCCACGGUUUCUGUGUCGCAGCUAACGCAUUAAGUUCCCCGCCUGGGGAGUACGGCCGCAAGGCUAAAACUCAAAGGAAUUGACGGGGGCCCGCACAAGCGGCGGAGCAUGCGGAUUAAUUCGAUGCAACGCGAAGAACCUUACCAAGGCUUGACAUAUACGAGAACGGGCUAGAAAUAGUCAACUCUUUGGACACUCGUAAACAGGUGGUGCAUGGUUGUCGU
rnacentral:rRNA from 1 species